AACCUGGUUGAUCCUGCCAGUAGUUAUAUGCUUGUCUCAAAGAUUAAGCCAUGCAUGUCUUAGUAUAAACUUUUAUACGGUGAAACUGCGAAUGGCUCAUUAAAACAGUUAUUGUUUCCAUGACGUCUACUCAUUACUUGGAUACCUACGGUAAUUCUAGAGCUAAUACAUGCGUUCAAACCUGACUUUUAGGAAAGGCUGUGCUUAUUAGAUACCGAACCAACCCAGCUUCGGCUGGUUUUGUGUUGAUUCAUAGUGCCCGAGCAGAUCGCACGCAAUUGCGGCGACGGGUCAUUCAAGUUUCUGACCUAUCAGCUUCCGACGGUAGGGUAUUGGCCUACCGUGGCUUUGACGGGUAACGGAGAAUUAGGGUUCGAUUCCGGAGAGGGAGCCUGAGAAACGGCUACCACUUCUAAGGAAGGCAGCAGGCGCGCAAAUUACCCAAUCCUGACACAGGGAGGUAGUGACAAGAAAUACCAAUACGAGGCAUCUACGUCUAGUAAUUGGCAUGAGUGAGAUUUACAACGCUUCACGAGUAUCAAUUGGAGGGCAAGUCUGGUGCCAGCAGCCGCGGUAAUUCCAGCUCCAAUAGCGUAUAUUAAAGUUGUUGCGGUUAAAAAGCUCGUAGUUGGAUUUCUGUCGGUGAGGUUCAGUCCGCCCAAGUGGUUGGUACGUGAUCCCGCCACCGGCAUCUUCCUGGGGAAUGUGUCUGCUCUUAAUUGGGUGGUACAUAAGCCAGGACUUUUACUUUGAAGAAAUGAGAGUGUUUCAAGCAGGCAUGCGCCGUGAAUACGUUAGCAUGGGAUAAUAGCAUCGGACCUCGUUCCAAAGCUGUUGGUUUCUUGGACCGAGGUAAAGGUGAAUAGGGAUUGUUGGGGGCAUUCGUAUUUGACUGUCAGAGGUGAAAUUCUUGGAUUUGUUGAAGACGGACUACUGCGAAAGCAUCUGCCAAAGAUGUUUCUCAUUGAUCAAGAACGAAAGUUAGGUGAUCGAAGACGAUCAGAUACCGUCCUAGUCUUAACCAUAAACUAUGCCGACUGGAGAUCGGGGGUCGUUAAUUAUGUGACGCCCUCUGCAUCUUGAGAGAAAUCAAAGUCUUUGGGUUCCGGGGGGAGUAUGGUCGCAAGGCUGAAACUUAAAGGAAUUGACGGAAGGGCACCACCAGGAGUGGAGCCUGCGGCUUAAUUUGACUCAACACGGGGAAACUUACCAGAUCAAGACAUAGUAAGGAUUGACAGAUUGAGAGUUCUCUCUCGAUUCUAUGGGUGGUGGUGCAUGGCCGUUCUUAGUUGGUGGAAUGAUUUGUCUGGUUAAUUUCGUUAACGAACGAGACCUUAACUUGUUGAAUAGUGAAUCGUAACCUCGGUUACGUUGGAAUCUUCUUAGAGGGACUUUGUGUGAUCAACGCAAGGAAGUUUGAGGCGAUAACAGGUCUGUGAUGCCCUUAGAUGUUCUGGGAUGCACGCGCGUUACACUGAUUCGUUCAACGAGUUUAUGACCUUGCCUGAUGAGGUGGGGGAAUCUUUUCAAAUCGCAUCGUGAUGGGGAUAGAGUAUUGUAACUGUUAGUCUUCAACGAGGAAUUCCUAGCAAGUACGUGUCAUCAGCUCGUACUGAUUAUGUCCCUGCCCUUUGUACACACCGCCCGUCGCUCCUACCGAUUGAGUGCUCAGGUGACUAGUAUGGACUGCAUCAGUGUUCGGUCUCCGAAUGUUGAAGCGAGAAAUUCUGUGAAUCUUAUUGCUUAGAGGAAGGAGAAGUCGUAACAAGGUUUUCGUAGGUGAACCUGCAGAAGGAUC
rnacentral:rRNA from 1 species